rnacentral:rRNA from 1 species
AUGCCGAAGACCGGGCAGCGGACGCCUCACGGGGUGGAGGAGAGGUCGAUGGGCGGAGCCGUUCGCUCGCCGGACGUGGCGGCGCCAGGUUCCAGAUCGGACGCAGGCUCACUGGUUUUGGUUCAGUUUGAAGGGCUCUCGGGACAAAAGAUAAUUGAGUUGUUGAAUCUGAAUGGGCGCCGCGAGGAGUGGAGGAUCGAGGUCGUGGGUUGCCAGCUUCAAAUUUUGGUUGAGCACUUCCUCAAUAAUCUUGUUGAGCUCCGCAAGGAGUUGAAGGCUGAGGUCAUGGUUGCCAGCUUCAAUUUUUUGCUGAGCAAUUCCUCAAGAGUCUUGCCAAGAUCUGAGGAUGAAGGGAAGAAGAAGGAUUUAACUAAAGAGUUGAAGAAGAUGAAGGUG